CCUACGGGAGGCAGCAGUGAGGAAUAUUGGUCAAUGGACGAGAGUCUGAACCAGCCAAGUAGCGUGAAGGAUGACUGCCCUAUGGGUUGUAAACUUCUUUUAUAUGGGAAUAAAACGUUCCACGUGUGGGAUUUUGUAUGUACCAUAUGAAUAAGGAUCGGCUAACUCCGUGCCAGCAGCCGCGGUAAUACGGAGGAUCCGAGCGUUAUCCGGAUUUAUUGGGUUUAAAGGGAGCGUAGGUGGAUUGUUAAGUCAGUUGUGAAAGUUUGCGGCUCAACCGUAAAAUUGCAGUUGAAACUGGCAGUCUUGAGUACAGUAGAGGUGGGCGGAAUUCGUGGUGUAGCGGUGAAAUGCUUAGAUAUCACGAAGAGCUCCGAUUGCGAAGGCAGUUCACUGGACUGCAACUGACACUGAGGCUCGAAAGUGUGGGUAUCAAACAGGAUUAGAUACCCGAGUAGUC
rnacentral:rRNA from 1 species